rnacentral:lncRNA from 1 species
UUCUACUUCCUCCCCUCUCUUCUCUCCAUUUCAUGUUUUCUUCAUCUUCCAUGGAAGCCUCCCAUGGUAACCCUAAACCUUGUGUUUUUCUACACCUUUUCAUAGGGUUUUUCAUGCUCUUUCUCUUCUACACCUCAAAAGCCCUUAAAGGUCUUUCCUUGGUAUAUUUUCUCACUAGCUGGAUGGGUGGAGAGAGAGAGGGAGAUUGUCCAGAAUAGCUUGGAAGCUUUUGAAAAAGAAUUCAACUACAAAAAACCACCAAGGUGAGUAAUGAAUUAGGUUUAAUUUUCAAGUUGUUGACAAUGGUUGAUGAUUAGAGUGGUGAGUUAAUCUAUUGUUGAGAUUGUUAAUCAUUUUUAGAGUGACUAAAGUAGAGUAAAUAACUAGCCACUUAAUGGCAAUUGGAAACUAGUUAGGAAUAACUAGUAGAACUUGAUUUAGGAAAGAGCUUUUGGAAUUAUAUUAAUGCCAAUUUGGGUUGGUGGUGAUAUUGUGUGUGUAUAGUUUCCAACAAGGCCUCACAUGUCCAUUUGGAGUAUUAGUUGAGGCUAGAGUCAAGCAAAAGAAUCAACAAGACCGGUGAGUGAACUUGCAUCAAAGUGUUUUUAGGAAAUACAUGUGUUGGGAUGAAGCAUUUAAAUGAUUUUACUUGGUUUUCAUUAAAUUAUGCAUGGGAACAAGAUCGAUGAGUGAACUUGCAUCAAAGUAUUUUUAGGAAAUACAUGUAUUGAGCUGAAGCAUUUAAAUGAUUUUACUUGGUUUUCAUUAAAUUAUGCAUGGGAACAAGCCCUUGAUAAAAUGUUUUGAUGUUGUGAAAUUAUGAAAUGUGUAAAAAGAUGAAUCCAUGUGCUCCUAUAUUAUGUUGGUAUGUAUAUAUAUGAAUAUGUGUUGUGCAUUGAUGAAUAAUGUUGUGUGAUAAUGAUGACCCAGCUAUGUGUGAUGUGGGAGUGCACAUGAGCUGAUGAUGACCUGGCUAUGUGCGAGUAGGGAGUGCGCAUAAGCUGAUGAUGACCCGGCUAUGUGCAAGUAGGGAGUGUGCAUAAGCCGAUGAUGAUGAUCCGGCUAUGACGAUGAAUGAAGUGGGGUGGUGUACAUGUUUAUAUAUGUUUAUAUAUGUAUAUGUGAUAGAAAGUUUAUGAUUAUAAUAGGUGAUUGAAAUGAAUAAUGAGAAACUUGAUUAUUGUCAAUGUGUUCACUUUGAUGUGUAAUAUGGUAGGAAUGGAUUUUGUGACAUGUGAAAACCCCUUAAUUGUCAUCUGCCCUGAAUCUCACUGCAGCGAGAAACUCUCGAGUGGUGGGGGCACAAACCAGCCUUGUUUCUCACUGCAGUGAAAAAGAAUUCUUGCUGCAACGAGGAAUUUGGUGCGGCGAAAUUGGAUUCUCGCUGCAGCGAGAAACUCUCGGGUAGACCCAAAUUUCUGGUGCAGAGUUUCCACUUUGACAAAGAUUUUGAUGACCUUAGGGUCAGAAGUGGGAAAAGUGGUAAAUAUAAAAGUUGUAUCCCUGCCUCUUAGCUUUCUAAUGGUUAAAAAAUUAUGUCAAUUGGACUUUUGUAGUGGGAGAUAUACUUGAAAAACCAAAACAUAUGUAAACUAAGACUAUUUCUCGCUGCAACGAGAAACUUGCUGCCAUGCUUGCUACCUUGCUUGAUAUUGACAUAUUUUUCACCCAUUUAACUUCAUCGAUUGAUCAUGGGUUUUUGCAACACUAUGAGGUUAUUAAUCAAAGUUUGAAAUGAGGGAUUUUUAGUAAGAAAUUAAAUCAAUUACAUUGUUUUUGAAACAAGUGCAUCAUGAUUUCCAAGUUCUCCUUAUCGAUUGCUUGUUCCCUUCUUAUGUUCACUCACUGAGUUUUAUACUCACAUUUUUAAACUUCAUGUUUUCAGAUUUGGAGGCAAUUGUGACCUAGAUUGAGUAUCCACAUAUGCUCGUUUUCUUAGUAGGUAUUAUGGCAUUUCAGUAGCGGUACCUUCACUUAAAGUCACUUCGUUGACAGUUAAGAGUCUUUGUCUGUGUACACGUAUAAGUAAUGUAAUCCACUAAGAUUCAUGUUAUAUGUCAAAUAUGUAUAUUUUGGAUUAAUGAUGCCACUAUAAGCUGGCAAAUGGGUGACAUUAUUUUGACAUAAUACAAUUGUGAGUAUUGG